GUAGUAUAAGAUUGGAAGUACGUGAGGUUUUGAGCCUUGGUGUGCGGGUUCGAGACCCGGUUUCCUAG
rnacentral:tRNA from 1 species